CGCCGUAAACGAUGAGUGCUAAGUGUUAGGGGGUUUCCGCCCCUUAGUGCUGCAGCUAACGCAUUAAGCACUCCGCCUGGGGAGUACGACCGCAAGGUUGAAACUCAAAGGACUUGACGGGGACCCGCACAAGCGGUGGAGCAUGUGGUUUAAUUCGAAGCAACGCGAAGAACCUUACCAAAUCUUGACAUCCUCUGACCCCUCUAGAGAUAGAGUUUUCCCCUUCGGGGGACA
rnacentral:rRNA from 1 species